rnacentral:rRNA from 1 species
AUUGAACGCUGGCGGCAUGCCUUACACAUGCAAGUCGAACGGCAGCACGGGAGCAAUCCUGGUGGCGAGUGGCGAACGGGUGAGUAAAGUAUCGGAACGUGCCCAGUCGUGGGGGAUAACGUAGCGAAAGGUACGCUAAUACCGCAUAAGAUCUAUGGAUGAAAGCGGGGGAUCGCAAGACCUAGCGCGAUUGGAGCGGCCGAUAUCAGAUUAGGUAGUUGGUGGGGUAAAGGCCCACCAAGCCGACGAUCUGUAGCUGGUCUGAGAGGACGACCAGCCACACUGGGACUGAGACACGGCCCAGACUCCUACGGGAGGCAGCAGUGGGGAAUUUUGGACAAUGGGCGAAAGCCUGAUCCAGCCAUGCCGCGUGCAGGAUGAAGGCCUUCGGGUUGUAAACUGCUUUUGUACGGAACGAAAAGGACUGCCCUAAUACGGUGGUCCCAUGACGGUACCGUAAGAAUAAGCACCGGCUAACUACGUGCCAGCCGCCGCCGUAA